rnacentral:lncRNA from 10 species
GCGGAGCCGGGCAGAGGUUUUAGGGGAAUGAUUAACAAAGGCGUCCGAAGAAAUCGUUGUUGGAAGGUGACCAAGGUGGAAAGAGACGUUGCUUUGGCCCUGCAAGUAAGAAGAGAGAGGGAAUAGCCUGAAGGAGUAACACUAAAUUUAAAAUGACACUUUUUUACCAACCAGCGAAAGCAGAUGUUCAAAGGGGAUAUUGGCCAGGUGCGGUCGCUCACGCCUUUAAUCCCAGCACUUUGGGGGCAGACGCGGGGAGAUAGCGUGAUUCUAGGAGUUCAACCCCAGCCUGGGCAACAUGCGGAGACCCCGUACCGUCUCUACAAAAACAUUAAACAAAAAAAUUAGCUGGGCAUGGUGGUGUACCCCUGUAGUUGCAGCUACACUAGAGGCUGAGGUGGGAGGAUCGCUUGAGCCCGGGAUGUUGAGGCUGCAGUGAGCCUCGAUCCUACCACUGUGCUCCAGCCUGGGCGACAGCAAGCCCGUGUCUCAGAAAAGGCGGGAGGGGUGGGAUAUUAUUGAUGAUAGGCCUUCUGACGUCUGGCAAUAGAUUCCAGAGUAACAUCGGUCAUGGAUAAAUUUUUUUUUUAACUAAGU